GUUCUGUCUCUCGACGCAGCGGAGGCGGUGUCCUUAAAAGUGCCCGAAGACUUUUUUUCGUUAAUUUUGUCGUUCGUCGUCGCGCCACACAGUCGACCGUUUCAUUGAACCAUGAGGACGUACUUCGUGAUAGCCGCUAUACUGAUCGCCGGGUCGAGUGGUCAGGACAGCUUCAAAUGCCCGGAUGACUUCGGGUUUUAUCCCCAUCACAUAUCGUGCGACAAGUACUGGAAAUGUGACAAUAACGUCGCGGAGCUGAAGACGUGCGGCAACGGCCUGGCGUUUGACGCCAGCGACAAUAAGUUCCUCACGGAGAACUGCGACUAUCUGCACAACGUGGACUGCGGUGAACGCGCGCAACUCGAGCCGCCCAUCAGUACGCCGCACUGCACUCGUCUCUACGGCAUCUUCGCCGACGACAAGAAAUGCGACGUCUUCUGGAACUGCUGGAACGGCGAAGCGUCCCGCUAUCAGUGCAGCCCCGGAUUGGCCUACGACCGCGAAGCUAGGGUGUGCAUGUGGGCCGAUCAAGUGCCCGAAUGCAGAAACGAAGAGGUAGCUGGAGGUUUCACGUGUCCGGCCGCUGGCGAAGUGAGCGGAGCAUCCGGCAGCUUCAGCAGACACGCCCAUCCGGAGGACUGCAGAAAAUACUACAUAUGCCUCGAAGGCAUCGCCAGGGAGUACGGCUGCCCGAUCGGCACCGUCUUCAAGAUCGGCGACGCUGACGGUAGCGGCGCUUGCGAGGAUCCCGAAGACGUUCCCGGAUGUGAGGAUUACUACGGUGACCUGGACUUGAAGAGCAUCCGGAAGAGCGAGCUACUUGCCGGCAUCCAGAGCGAGCCCAGAAAGCCAUCCAGCCAGGCGAAACCUAGGCCAACAGGAAGCCCCGCGAGGCUGUCCUCGCCCCUUCAGGAAAAUUAAAUCCUGACUUACCUCGCCCCCUCUCACUCAUUUCCUUUUUCUCUCAUUUUGUUACUAUCGUUUUAUUUUAUCGACUUCAAUUGUUUGACGCAAGUUAUUGGCGCAAAAUCUAAACUGAAACAAAUAAAACAAAUUUUAUUCUAUUUGCAAAGAAUAAUUUUCCAUUAAAAUAUAAUUCUUCUGCAAAGAGCGUCAUGGUUGUGUUUCAAAAUGUAAUUAAAAAAUUGAGUUUUGUUAUAAAAUUAAAUUCCUUCAGUUCCUAUUUUACUCUAUGCUUUAAUUAUGAAAUACUUACAAAUUCAUGUAUUUGUUUUAUCUUAUAUUUUAUCUUUUAAUUUAUUUUCUAUUAUUUAGAUUUAUAUUUUACGCCAAUAAAUUGUAUGAAACUAUAUCUUUUUCUUCUUUAUCAUUUCUUUCUCUAUUUCUCUCCUUCCUCUUUUUCUCUUUCUUUCUCUCUCUCCCUCCCUCCUCUCUCUUUUUUCACUCGCUUUUCGUUUCUCUAUUCUCUUUCUCUGACACAUACAUAUACAUACGCUCACACACGUACAUACUCGGAAAAUCCAGCUCUGAUUACGCAAAAACUAUUUCUCCAAAAGGAAAGUAAUCGGUGCCGAGAGCCACAAAAACCGAAAAAAAAAACAAAUCCGCCCUCAACAGGGCCUCCCCUGGACGUUUUGGUCGAUUUUCUAUUUUACAUCUCGCAAGGACGUGGCUCAAUCUCGAGGCAGAAAUUCCGAAGCGAAAUCUACGAGAUUCCGAGAGAACGAGGAAAGCGCAAUCAAACCGUCGUGAAUUUCAUGCCCUAGAAUUUGCCCGUAAUUCUCUUUUGUCGCUCUAAUCGCGUGUCUCCGUGCAAUCUUGAAGCACAGAGCGUCAUUAUUUUUGUACUUAUAAUAAAAGAAAAGUGAUAUACAAGCGCGGCUGGUUAGCGCGACAAAUAGCAUCUUCUCUCUAAAUAUUAUUUUCUAUAUAUAUUCUUAUCUGUAUCUAUAAUCUAUUUCUCACUAUACGUCACGCACGAAAUCGAGUCUAUUAGACUCGCACGAUCCACGAUCCACGAUCUAUAACUCGGAAAUCCGACUCUUGGCGCCAAUCCAAGAUUAUUACGGCAACGUGGACCUGAAGGCCUUACGCAAGCUGGGCUACAGAAAAUAGAAGCGUAAUGCAUGCAAGCGCU